rnacentral:rRNA from 1 species
CAGCAGCCGCGGUAAUACGUAGGGGGCUAGCGUUGUCCGGAAUUAUUGGGCGUAAAGCGCGCGCAGGCGGUCCUUUAAGUCUGAUGUGAAAGCCCACGGCUCAACCGUGGAGGGUCAUUGGAAACUGGGGGACUUGAGUGCAGGAGAGGAGAGCGGAAUUCCACGUGUAGCGGUGAAAUGCGUAGAGAUGUGGAGGAACACCAGUGGCGAAGGCGGCUCUCUGGCCUGUAACUGACGCUGAGGCGCGAAAGCGUGGGGAGCAAACAGGAUUAGAUAACCUGGUAGUCCACGCCGUAAACGAUGAGUGCUAAGUGUUAGAGGGGUCACACCCUUUAGUGCUGUAGCUAACGCGAUAAGCACUCCGCCUGGGGAGUACGGCCGCAAGGCUGAAACUUAAAGGAAUUGGCGGG